rnacentral:lncRNA from 1 species
UGUGUGUGUGUUCAUGUAAAGCAAAGCUGUGGCUGUGGCCCACACACGCUGCUGACUUUGUAAACGCCUGUGUCAGGAUCAAAAGCGGGGCUAUCUGCAGACACACUUGAUUAGUGAAAGGGCAGCUCACAAUAGCAGCUAUAAUGAAGACUGCUGGACUGCUUUUUCUCUCCUAAUGCUCUAAGUACUGUAAGAGCUCAGUCUGUUUUGAUUGGCAUUGCGUGAUCUUCAUGUAAAAAGAGGUAAAGAUCUGAUCAAUUUUUGAGUUUAUCUCUAGCAUUAGUAUUUAUAUAUUUGAUUUCAGAUUUAAUUUUCAGGACAAGGUUUUUUUUUUCUUCCUCCAACUGGAGAUUUAGCUUUAAUCUUGUCUUUUUUAAUCACUUUCCUCACCCCCUGCACUCGCGAUGACUGGACACACUUUCUUUUGUUAUCAAAAGUCCUUGGUUUUGUUUCUUAAUGCUCCAUUUGAAAACCAAUUAGCUUCUCUCUUGGAUUCAAUUACCAAAGUGAAAGGCUAGCGCUAUCUUGCCUCUGCAAUAAUAACACAAUAAUUGUAUUCACACGCAGCUCCUCCUCCAGCCCAGGCCUUUGGCGCACUGCUCUUUCAACCAGUGCCCGAGCCCCUCCUUUGGCCUUGGCUGCGUGCUUGUGAGUUGAUUCAAACGUGGAGUGAUUGUAUCACUUUCUGAUAAACAAAACUCGGCUGUUGGCCUGGCUCGUCUUUCAAAAUCAAUGAGGUCGGUAACAUUCAGAAUGGAUCUCUCCUUGAGGACACGGUAAGCGCCUUGAAAAUGAACUCCAUAUUUCCUCUGCUGUUGGCACAUAGGCGUCUGGGUGUGUGCCUGUGCUGGCUGGAGACUGUGUGUAAAAAUUAGUGUACAUGUGCGACAGCAGAAGGGUCCGAGUUUGCGGCUGGGUGAUUAUGUGUUAGUGCAGAGUGUGUGUCUGUGUGUGCGUGCAUGUGUGUGUCAGCAGUCAGUCAUAAUCUGGAAAGCUUCACCACUCACCAACAAUGUUGAUGAUGUGUGCGCACAACACAGGCAAAUGGCCUGAGACAGCAGUGAAUAUGCGUGUAAUGAGGUUGAAACUGAAGAAAGAUUGGGAGUUCAGACACAAGAGCUGUGUGAGUUGAUUUCUUCAUCCCUCUUUGUUAUUUUCAGAUUCAGCCAAAUGCCACAAUGUUCUUUUUUUUCCAUGACAGGCAAAUGUUGCUUUUGGAGUAUGCUUUAUAUAAGGCACUUUAACCUCAUCUUUUGAAAUAGUAAUUAAUGAAUACAUGUUAAAAGAUUUCAGUGCUUGCUUUACUCAGAAAACUGUAUUUUUGAUAGAUUGAUUAUAAACCAAAUUGCAAUCUAAAAAGAAUAUAUAUUCAAAAGGUUGGCCUCCUUGUUUGUGUCUUAAAGGGAAUGGUUUUCUUAAAUGAGAAAAGUAAGUAUAAUAAAAUGACACUCCGACCUCAGAGUGAGCAUUCUUCUAUUUAAAUAUAUUUAAGACCUAUUCACAAGAGACUGAAGAAGUUCAAAAUGUUUGCAAAGUGAAUUUUUUUUUUCUUUUUUUUUUUAAUUUGUAACUCUAUAGAUGGUAAGUAGGGGUGGGAGAAAAAAUCAAUUCACAUGGCGAUUUUUUUGUUUUAUAAUUUUUAAAUUGACUUUUAUGUUCAAUUUUUUUUUUUUUUUUUUUUUUUUUACAUUAAAGAAGAAAUCUUAAAAACUGCCUUACAUACACUCACCGGCCACUUUAUUAGGUACACCUGUCCAACUGCUCGUUAACACUUAAUUUCUAAUCAGCCAAUCACAUGGCGGCAACUUAGUGCAUUUAGGCAUGUAGACAUGGUCAAGACAAUCUCCUGCAGUUCAAACCGAGCAUCAGUAUGGGGAAGAAAGGUGAUUUGAGUGACUUUGAACGUGGCAUGGUUGUUGGUGCCAGAAGGGCUGGUCUGAGUAUUUCAGAAACUGCUGAUCUACUGGGAUUUUCACGCACAACCAUCUCUAGGGUUUACAGAGAAUGGUCCGAAAAAAGAAAAAAUAUCCAGUGAGCGGCAGUUCUGUGGGCGGAAAUGCCUUGUUGAUGCCAGAGGUCAGAGGAGAAUGGCCAGACUGGUUCGAGCUGAUAGAAAGGCAACAGUGACUCAAAUAACCACCCGUUACAACCAAGGUAGGCAGAAGAGCAUCUCUGAACGCACAGUACGUCAAACUUUGAGGCAGAUGGGCUACAGCAGCAGAAGACCACACCGGGUGCCACUCCUUUCAGCUAAGAACAGGAAACUGAGGCUACAAUUUGCACAAACUCAUCGAAAUUGGACAAUAGAAGAUUGGAAAAACGUUGCCUGGUCUGAUGAGUCUCGAUUUCUGCUGCGACAUUCGGAUGGUAGGGUCAGAAUUUGGUGUCAACAACAUGAAAGCAUGGAUCCAUCCUGCCUUGUAUCAACGGUUCAGGCUGGUGGUGGUGGUGUCAUGGUGUGGGGAAUAUUUUCUUGGCACUCUUUGGGCCCCUUGGUACCAAUUGAGCAUCGUUGCAACGCCACAGCCUACCUGAGUAUUGGUGCUGACCAUGUCCAUCCCUUUAUGACCACAAUGUACCCAACUUCUGAUGGCUACUUUCAGCAGGAUAAUGCGCCAUGUCAUAAAGAUGGAAUCAUCUCAGACUGGUUUCUUGAACAUGACAAUGAGUUCACUGUACUCAAAUGGCCUCCACAGUCACCAGAUCUCAAUCCAAUAGAGCAUCUUUGGGAUGUGGUGGAAUGGGAGAUUCGCAUCAUGGAUGUGCAGCCGACAAAUCUGCGGCAACUGUGUGAUGCCAUCAUGUCAAUAUGGACCAAGCUCUCUGAGGAAUGCUUCCAGCACCUUGUUGAAUCUAUGCCACGAAGAAUUGAGGCAGUUCUGAAGGCAAAAGGGGGUCCAACCCGUUACUAGCAUAGUGUACCUAAUAAAGUGGCCGGUGAGUGUAUGUUGAAGAAAUAUGGUUUCUGGAAAAGUCAGUAGACAAUCAUAAUCGUUCAACUGUUUCACUGGUGUUAAAAAUCGUAGAAUCGCAAUUUAAAUCAAAAUGGCAUCCAAAAAAAUCGUACAGGAAUCAAAUCGGGUGAAAAGCAUAUCAUCCCAGCCCUAAUGGUAAGUCAUCUUUGUCUUGACUACAUUUCACUAGCAUGUUUCAGUAUUCAUCACACAUUUACGCAGCGAUACAUGGAAAUUUUAAAACUUAGGUCAUAAAAAUAUUUGCACUAAGAAUUAUGAAGGUGAGCAAGGCAGCACAGUCGACACUGAAAGACUUGAAGGAUUGCGCAACCUGGAAUUGAAAUCACUACAUCUGAGUGUCAGCCCUGAACUUACACAUUUAGAUAUUUCACAAAAAAUUUAAAAAAAAAAUUAAGCCUGUAAUUAUAUAUAUAUAUUUUUUUUCUGUAUUUUGUAACAAAUGCAUAUACAGCAGAUUUAUCUCAGCAUAAAGAUAAUGUGUGUUUUGUUGAUGCUCAAACAUCUAAUGAGUAAAGAACUGGUAAAUUCAAAGUUUAAACUCUUCUGUUUAAGGAUUUCCUAAGUGGGGCACCACUGGCAGAGCUCGUGCCUCAUGUACAGAGGUUAUGCCUCACGCUGGAAGCCCAGGUUCGAUUUCAGCCUGAGGCCUCUUUCCCGUAUGUCACUGCCUUCUCUAUCCCCAUUUCCUGCUCUAUUCCUCGAGUCCUGUCCUCUCUAAAGAAAGGCAACGAGUCCUAAAAUAAAUCUUUGAAAAACAAAUAUUCAAAGUGAACUCCUUUAAUCAGGUGAUGAAAAGACCGUUUUAUUUUUGCACACUUUAAAUGUCCAAGACCACCAACUAUGCAGCUUAAAGUGUCUCAACACUCACCAUUGUUAGCCGCCACUUCUGUGGGUGCUGUGAUUACAUUUAAUUGGCCUGCCCUCAGAAACCUUUACGCUCACACACUUCACACCAGCACCUCUCGUGGCUUUCUCAAGGUAAGUCUAGAAGGUGCCUCGUAGCUCGCUGACCUCAAAACAGUUUUCACUUCCUGUACGGGUUGAAGUCGUCUUGACCGGAGUAAAUCAACCUCCCCCACGCUUCAAUUACACAUCCCGCUUCUGUUACCAGCUCCCCCCCCCACAACAAUUUUAAAGCUAAUUGCAGCCGACAUAAACAUGCAGUUAGCGUAUUGAUAUGUGGUUAAGGGAGUUAAAUUAUGCACUAGCAUCUCUUUAAGCUGCACUUGAACCUGAGAAGGGGAGGUGAAACAAGGAAGGGGGAAAUACCUUCAGUGCAUGCAAGAGCCAAGAACAUUAGCCCACAUCUGCUUCAGCGUGAUUAUUAUGUUAUCUGUGAUCCGUAAGAAUCAGGUCAACACUGCGGCUGAAAUAUAGCAGGACUUGUUCUAUGAAUAUGUAGAUUUGCAUGUGAUAUUUGCAUAGCUGAAUAGCAGAGAAGUUAAUGCAAACAACAUCUGCUCAGAGUCGUGCACGACGUACCUAGAGUUUUUUUUAUUAUUUGAAAUGUCCACUUUAACCUUUGGAAAUUGGUUGUAACGUUCAGUAUUUACAGAUACUGAUUACAUUUUGGAUCCAGAAUAAAUGAGAAUUGCAAGUGGAGUCCACGCUGAAUAAUGCAUUUAUUGUCCGGAGUCCGAUACCCAUUACUAUGACAAUGUUGACACAAAACACAGAAGCUACAUUGGUGGGAUUAUUAUACGCAAUGAAUGGAAACCUUUUCUAAUGUGCCCAGUUUUUAUUCCGGCCCUGAAAUAAUAGUCUAACUCAGCUCUGGCAACACAAACUUUACAUGCCCCAUCAGCCGCGGCGACGAUUAAGUUAUGAAAACAGUUUGGAGUGGGUCAGUGAUUCUGCCUUGCUCUGCGGCAAGUGUUCAUCUCAGAGAUGUGCUGAAAUGUACGCUGUAUGUAUUCUCAGGGGUACAAGGCCAAAUCAACAAGAAAAACCAUCAGCGUUGAGGGAUAUAAAAGCAAGCAUUUGUCUUUAUUAAAGUGCCCGGUUUACGUAAGAGGACCCCCAAGUCCUCCUUGGAUUAUAAAUGGGCUCUGAAAAUAAACAGGUGUUGAAGAAAGCGAAAGAGAAAAUCUGAAAUCAAUCACUAGAAAUUUUAUAUUUUUCUCUCUCAGAAAUGAAGUGAGCUAUAAAAUCAUCGCACACUAAAAUCCAUACUUGCACCAUUUACUCUUAUUUUUAUAUCAUAAGGGGUCUAUAUUUUUAAACUCUCAAAUAUUAACACCAGAUGAUUUACGAUAAAAAAAAAAAUACACUGUGAAGAUGUAAUACGCUUGAUUAUAAACAUAAAAACACGUCAGAGGUUUUCUUUAUGAUAAUGACAUAAUGGUGUGUCUGCCGUAUAAUGUGGGACCACAAUAAGGUUGCAAUUAAACACAAAUGAUGAUGAUGAUGAUGAUGCACGUACACGAACAACUUUGCAUGUGCACACUUUCUCUGAAUGUUUGAUGCUUUGAUAAAGAGAGGGGAAAAAUAUCCUGAAGUCCGCUGUCAUUAAAUCGGUGUCAGUUUAUUUGUGUAAGACACUGGAGCUCAGGAGGAGAGCUGGAGAGUAAGGGUGGUCCGCAGUCCAUUUAUUCACGGCUCGCUGGCAGCUGAUCAGUGGAAUUUAGUUUUUUGCUGAAAUUUGGAAAAGGGGAGGGUGAAUUUUUUAAAGAAUAUGAGCUCUGAACUUUUAUUCUUUAAGGAAAAGAUUAAGUUUCAGGGUUUUUGUGUGCCAAGAGUCAAUUGAUGACCGGGAGAAAACGGCAGAAUUUAAGUAUAAGAACUGGAGAAGAAACUAAUAACCAUGAAACUAGUUUCUGCAUGUGUAGACAGGCAGGGAGACGUAUUAAUGGAGCAGUAAUGUGGAGGGUACAUUGGCCCGAGCCUCCAGGGCUUACCACGGGGGGGACUUUGGAGCAGCUGUUUUUUAGCUGCUCUAAAUGGAGACGUUGUCCUGUGUGGUGCUCCAUUUUGGAUUCUCAGCCCCCACCCUUCACCGAUACUUCCCCAAACCAGCUUCACUUUCCCUCCCCAUGCGCAGCACAGAGAAGGGGGUCAGGGGUAGCGGCGAAGGUGGGGCAGCCAUCUAAACUGAAGCCAUCAUCAGCCACUCUCCCUCACCCCCACAUACCGACCCCCUACUCCCUUUUCCUGCCUGAUGUGGCCCUUGACAGGAUCUCAUCUCACACGACCAGCCUGGGCUCCCUCCAGAGUGUCAAAGCAGGUCUUAAUUUUAAAAGCCCCUGGGUUCAAUGCAAACUAUUCAGCUAUGCUUACCACUCAAUUAUCUUCCUGUCCCUUUUUUUUUCCACCGCCAAAGCCCCCUCUGAAAGAACCGCGGAGCACUCUGUGGUGGGUCUGACUCGGUAUCAGUUCCCUGGUGCCCCUGUCCUUUAAGACUACAUCCAAACACACGGUGACAAAAGCAAGGAUUUAAGGUCAUUUCAUACGCACAAGAGUGUAUGUGGCGCUCCAGAAAUGGCCCUGCUUCCUUGGAUGCUGGAGUGAUGUCAGCCCCCUUUGAUUCUCUGUUUCUCACAGUAUUUGACAGCCCCUCUGGUAGCCAUUAGUUUGGUUAAGGAUUGCCCCCUUUUCUCCUCCAGUGGUCAGUCAGAAACAAAUAAUGUGCUCUGCCCUCCAGUGUUUGCCGAAAAAGCCCUGCGAGACCUUGCGGCUUGGAAACGUUUACGAAACACUCAGAACCACAGGAAACAUCCAGAGGAAAACGUUCCCUCUCUCCCUUAACCCUCCCUCCCCCCUUCCCCCGCCGCAGCUCCUCACCGGCAAUGGAUUUGGGACCAGAGAGCUUGAGAAAGGUCAAAGGUGGGUAAGAGAAAAGCACAGAUGACUCUCAGAUGGAUUAGCACUAAGUGAUUCAGACUCUCCCACACAAUCACAACACCUAAGAGGUCAUUUUCACGAGGCAUCCGAGAUCAGUCUGUUUUGGUGAUUUCAACCACCAGCUGGGCAGAUGGUACACAGAAUUGUAAAUUUAUCUUGUUCUUUACCAACGAACUGUGAAGGGAGAGAAAACUUCUGCAAGCAAUUUCCCUCUGACAGCUCAGAGGAAUGUUUUGCAUUGCUUGUUUGGCUGAAUCUGUUUUUUUUUCUUCUUGUUUUAUUUAGGAAAGCACUCUAUAAAUAAAGUUUGCAUUAUUACUACAGGAAGGAGCAGAAUUAAUGUCAGGCGGCUGAUUGUUCAAAACCGCCCCAGAAAACAUCCUCAUCAGUAAGUAAGUGGAGCGUAACUCUUUGACAAAUUAUGAGUCCUCGAGCAGAGGUGGGCGAGCCGUCAUCAGUCUUGAGAACAUGUGAAAACAGAGUCAGGUGGGUUAACAUACUUAAACUUAAAUUAACUGUGAUCCAUCAUCGAGAGAAUAUCUCACCCGUCCAGGAAAACAGGCGCGAUAAGAGAGAGGCUGCUUAUCAAAAACCAAACACUGUACUCGUUGGUGUCUAACAAAAACGUCCAAGCAAAGGCUAAAAGUCCAGAUGAGGAGUUGGAUUUCUUUCAGGGUUGGAGAAAACUCCCUCACAGUGGCCUGCUGUAAUGGAUGACUUCACUUCCACUAUCUGUUAGCCAGAGAAAUUAUUACCACGGAUACUUGGUGGUGUAAGGAGAUUGGAUGGGUGAGCCUUAAUAAACUUUUUCAAGCAGGAGCAGAGCCUUGUGAAAAUGACUUUUUUUUUUUGUUCUUAUCUUCAUUUAAGUACAUCAUUUUCUGCUGUGACACACACUGUGUUCACACCACUGAGGUCUAUAUCAUCUCAGAACUGUAAGAUGAUGCCUGACUUUCUCUGCCUGAGUGUAUAGCUAUAAGACAGACCUAUAUUAGGGUGCAUUCACACCAUAGACUGUAUAUACUAUGGACAACUUGGUUCCGCCCUCUGCCGGUAUAUGGAAUUGAAGCCAAAAAGCUCUCGGUAAUUUCGCAUUUUCUCUCCAUUUCCUGAAACCAACAUUGCGCAGUAGUAUUGUGUGCAUUCGGUGGGAGAGAGUCACUGUGAAGACAUUGAUAAAUACUUCAAGGUCAUAAACACAAUCGCCAACGCAGCAAACACUUCAUAUUCAAUCGUCACAACUGAAGCAUUUUUGGGCCUGUAGGGGGCGCUUACUUAAAUUAGACACACACCAGUUUGAGGCAUUAAAAAUUGCAGGAUACAAAUCAUCAAUCUUGACAGAAACGGUCUUAUUUACUUUUAUAUAUCAUAAAAAGGCAUUAAUAUGAAUUGUAGUAUGUUGCAGGAGUGUCAAAAACUCCUCACAGGAAUUUUAAGAAGUACUUGAUAUAGUUGAGUGUCCUCAUUCAGAAAAAUAAAAGGUAUUUGUGGCAUGCCUAAUUUUUUUUAUUUUAGAGAAAUUAAUAGUGUUUUUCCAGAGAUAAUUACAAAUAGAAACUACCAUCCAUUAUCCUGAUAGGAUGUGUUGCAAAAAUAUUUAAUUUUCUCAUGUCAUUAAUGUAUAUCUAAAUUUGUUUCCUGGACUGGUUUAUUGUUCUUUUUUUUUUUUAAAGUAAGAACUUUUUCUGACCAGAAACCAGCAGCUCCAAAGAUUAAAAACAUACCAGUGAAGAGCAGCAGAUUUACACGUCAAAGAGUCUUGUUCUAGAAGCUGUUUUUUUUUUUGUUUUUGUUUUUUUGUAUGUUGCCAAUAUUUUAAAAAGAAUAUUUUAUCAUACAAAAUCGUUGUUAUUAAUUUUCUGUGGACUGGAUUACUAAUGAAUGAACCCUUUGCUAACUCCUUGGCAUUGAAUGUUAACAUUUAGUGCAUUGUUUAUGAAUUGUUUAGCCUAGAAGUAGAACAUCCUUUGAGCUGUGUGUGUAUCACGUACUGUUUUUCAUUUAGUAUUCACUUUGUUUUGCCAGGCUCUCCCUUGGCUUUAAAGUUGCCUGCAUGUGUCUCAUUCCUCCUCGCUGCCUGAGGAAGAGUACCGACUAGAGACACAUUGCAGCGUGUGCAUUAAGACUGAGGAGCUGCACAUCUUUCUAAUGUUAUUUUUGCAUUGUUAAGCAUGAAAUAAUGUCUUUGUGCAUUAGGGCUCUCGUUCUCUCUCUCUCGUUCAAACAUCUUAAAAAAAAACAUCAGAUGUGUCUCGGAUGAGAAGUUUGAUCAGAACUAGGACACUUUAAGCUGAAGUGUGAAUUUUGCUUCAGCCACAGUCCUCCAGCUCCCCCUCUCUCCUGUCAGGCACUUCUCUCUCUCUCUCUCUUUCUCUGUUUUUGACUCCCAGACCGCCCUCUUACAUUCCCUCUUCUCUUUCUCGCCCCCCAUACUUUUCUCCCUCUUCUCCCAAAUCGACCCCCUCCUUUUCGCACUCUGCCCGCUCCUCAAAUGAGACACACUCAUACAUCACUAUCUCUCUAAAACCAAUCUCCCACUAUCUCUUUAUCAGACCCUCUUUCCCUUCCCUCAUUGUCCUCCAUCCUGUGUUUUUCUCCCAGUCUAUCCUCUCUUUACCUCUUUCGGAGCUCUCACAUGUGGACUUGAUCAGUGAGGCUAACGCAGCACAUACAGCUAAAGGCUUGAGGCUGGGGUGUGGUGUGGGGGCAUGUUUGAUAUAAAUCCCC